rnacentral:rRNA from 1 species
UAGGGAAUAUUGCAAAAUGGGCGAAAGCCCGAUGCAGCAACGCCGCGUGGGCGAUGAAGGCCUUCAGGUCGUAAAGCCCUUUUUGAGGGGAUGAGGAAGGACAGUACCCUCAGAAUAAGCCUCGGCUAACUACGUGCCAGCAGCCGCGGUAAAACGUAGGAGGCGAGCGUUAUCCGGAUUUACUGGGCGUAAAGCGCGUGCAGGCGGAUUGGAGAGUUGGAUGUGAAAGCUCCCGGCUUAACUGGGAGAGGUCGUUCAAUACUUCCAGUCUUGAGUGCAGUAGAGGGAAGUGGAAUUCCGGGUGUAGUGGUGAAAUGCGUAGAUAUCCGGAGGAACACCAGUGGCGAAAGCGGCUUCCUGGACUGUAACUGACGCUCAGACGCGAAAGCUAGGGUAGCAAACG